rnacentral:lncRNA from 1 species
UUGUGCAUUAGAAGGUUAUUCCAGUAUUAUUGGGAAAGGGGGAUGUUAUACACGUGUCACCCCUGAUUUUUUUUCUUUGCCACCAAACCAAGAACGACAGUAACAAGAACGACAACCCCCGGCGAUUCCGGUCAGCUUCUCCGGCGGGAUUCCACCGGUAACACGACAAAGAUAAAGGUUUGAGGGUUACAAGACCAGAUCGGUGACGAGUUGCAACGUGACGUAAGAAUCAGAGGUUUCGGUGUGCGAUGGUGGUGGUGGUGGUGACCCGUUGGAAUCAAGAUCUCCGGUGAUGGAACAUGUGCGGAAGCUAAGGUUUCGCUCUGCUUCGUCACGACCACGCAGGGGAAAAGAAGGAAGGGAACACUGCUAGAUACAUCACUAGAUCGCAAGCUGUUAAGUAUCUUCAUGUUUUUAACUCCAUGUGGCGGGUGUUGACCUGUUGUAUCCCGGCGGCUCCGGCCGUCUUUGGCGGGUAGCAGAUUUACCCUGUCGUUGUCGGCGGCUACGGCCGUCUAUGGUGGCGGCGGAAGGUGAUGAUGAUGAGUUGGGCCGCGGUGCAUUUACCCCGUAGUUGCCGGAGGCUACGACCGUCUAUGGUGGCCGCCGAAGGUGAUGAUGAUGAGUUGGGUCUCAUCUGAGCCUCCAUGGCUACACAACCCUAGCGGCGGCGACUAUGGUUCCGCAAUAUUUGGUUUCAAGGCCAACGGACAUACUGAUAAUCGAUGACGAUGAUCCAAAUUUCAUCUGAGAUUAUCAAAAUAGGGUGGUGAUGAU